GGAGUCUGCCUCUUUUGGGGUUUCCAGCUUGCUGGAUUCAAUGCCUUCUUUCACGUAUAGAGCGACUCCGCCACCAAUACGUCCUUCCCUGUCGUCCUGGUAUAGUUUAUAUCCAGGGAUAACCGUAUCCCACUGGUUUUCUCCAUUCCACCAGGUCUCCGUUAUGCUCACUAUAUCAAUGCUCUCCUCUAAGACCAAGCACUCCAGUUCUCCCAUCUUGGUUCGGAGGCUCCUAGCAUUAGUGUACAGGCACUUGUAAGCAGUCUCUCUCUUCAAGUGUCUUUGGCACUUGUGGUUUGGCCUGUGGUAAUUUUGCUCUUCUGAAUUCAUCUUGCACCUCAGGCCUUUAGACUGCAAACUUGUGGCUUUCAUACAACUUUUUCAUGGAGAAGUCCUAGGUACCUUCCUGUCCCAACAGUUUCCCAAGAAAAAACCUCUUUUAAAAGAGUCUGUAGUUUGGAUAUACCCACACUGCUACUAACAUUUGCCAGAAACCUAGCUAUCUCAAGAUAUGUGAAAAAAGGCUUCUGGUUGAAAAAAUAAUAAUUUGUAUGGACUGAAGUAUAGGUAGAAGUUAUCUGAAGCUCCUGAAUUCCUGUCAAUAAUUGCACUGUAUGUUUUAAUACAAGUCUUGUGACCUUUCAUGGGCAGAUUUCUCUGUUUACAAAGGACUGCAAGCAAAAUUAAAUACUCUUGUGUUUAGUUAUGAUCUGUCUUCCAGUGACAGAGCUCUGCAAUUGCUGAAAGAAGACUUAAUUAGUACUCAGCUGAAUUCCUGCCACGUGGGAGGAGGCUGUUCCUGCCAUCAUUGCAUAUUACCUGAAAAGUGAGUCUAUACCCUGGGAAAAUGCAGGUAUCGAUGACACCCAUCUCUUGGGGUUCUGUAUCUGAGCAGAACUUGGCAAGGAGCCUGGGCGCACAUUUAAAGGCUAACUUUUUUUUAUGGCACAAACAUUUCUGGGCCAGAGCCUACUUCGUCAAAUAUAUUAAAUGUCUGUGCAAGUAUAAUCUAUUCAACUUAGAAAGGAGAGGGUGGGAGUCAUUACCAGGACCAACACCAAGUUCUAUUUCUCCUUCAUUCCCUAGUAUGGUAACCCUUGAAUGAAUUGCCUGUGUUCAGUAAUGGUCCUGGGUAAGGACAGCUAUUUUGGAUGGGAAACAUCAGGAAUGGGAAACCUGUGGUCCUACAUUUGUUGAUGGGCUCCAGCUCCCAACAGCCCCAGUCAUCUUGGCCAGUGCUCAGGAUGAUGCGAGUUGGCGCUGAGCAACAUCUAGAGCAGGGGUUCCCAAACUGUAGUUCUUGGGCCACAAGCUUCAUUCAGAUGGUCUGCAGCAUGUCUGCGUUAAAUAUUCAUAUUUAUUGUUCAUUGUGUUUUUAUUGCUGCUUUUAUUUAUAUUUUAUUUUACUGCAUUACCAUUUGAUUUCUAUGGAAUGCAAAUUGUAAUUUAAUAAAAUACAAGAAAUAAACAAUGAAAAUGCAAUUAAAAGUUAAACAGCUUCCAGCACAGUGCUUUACAAUUGCUACAAGAGGCAGAACAAUCUUUUUAAAGUGGUCUUCCAAAACCAUCAGCAAUUUUCAAGUGGUCCGUGGGAGAAAAGGUUUGGGAACCAAUGAUGUAGAGGUCCACAGGGUCCUCAUCUCUGAGGUCUAGAUUUAAGAUGGUGGCUACCGUCACCAAAGUUUAUUGCCAAAUUCAGGCUGUCAUUCGGAGACUACCACACUUAGUAAUGACAUCUGUUUCAUCUGCGAACUACAUUGGUAACAGUUUGUUUUGAGGUUAAAUGGUAGAAUCUGCUCUUAAGCCCUGAAUGGUUCGUUACAAGAAGAGUAAGGUAACAUUUUCUCUCUGAUACCCUCUCCACCCAUGAGCUAAGAUCUGAUGGUGAAAUACAAUUAUACAUGUUGCCACUGUCUUUGAUAAGAUUAACAUCAGCUAGAAUCAUAGCUUUCUCGGGGGGAGCACUCUUGUCACAUUGUCUAAUUAUUCAGAAAUUGGUAAAAAGAUAUCUUUCCACCUUCAGUGCUGGUUAGGCUGCAUCUGGAGGUCAGUGUCCAGUUCUGGGUGCCACAUUUCAAGAAAGAUGGUGACAAGCAGGUGUCCAAACAAAGACAACCAGGAUGUGAAGGGUCUGGAAACAAAAUCCUCUCAGGACUGGAGGGUGAAUGGGUGGAAAUUGCAGGGAAGCAAAUUUGGACUAAAAUGUCAGAAUAAGCUUCCUAAUGAUAAGACCUGUUCAACUGCAUAACAGACUGUCUUGGGAGAUGGAGUGUCCUUCACUGGAGGUAUUUAAGCAGACACAGAAUGGCCAUCUGUCAGGUGUUGCAAUUGCAUCCUACACUGAGUAAGGGAUAAGAGUAAUUAUUCUAUUAUUUAUGUAGGCAACUCCUUAUAUCUGCUCCAAAUCAUCCUGUGGCAAGAAAACUUGAAGUAUCAUACCUCUGUUUGCUUAGCAUAUCUACCUUUUUAUUUUCAAAGCCUCCCCUCUCUCCACCCAAGUUCCAUGACUUUUUGUCUUAGGUGAUUCCUCCCUCAGCAAACCAAACCUUCCAAGAACAUAGGAAGAGCCUGCUGGGUCAUGUCAAAAGCCCAUGUAGUCCAGCAUCUUCUCACAGUGGCGAUGUGAGCCGUUAUUUGAAGAAUAUUUUGACAUACAGGUGCCUGUUUACAUGGAAACCAGGCCAGUAGAACAACUGGAGACUAUGCUGCCACCCCUAAGAACAGUCUUGAUGGAUCCAACCCAGUUUCCAUUCAUGUUGCUCCUUGGAAUGAUUAAGAAGGGAAACAUUCACCAUUUUCAUGGGAAUCUACAGUCCAAAUUGGCAAGGCAAGACAUGGGAGGGACUCUUUCUGCAGGCCGUAGCUGAAGCAGCCCAGCGAGCAGGAGCUACCAAAGCUACUUGGGAGAGAUGCUGUUUCGCAGCCAGUGAGUUGCCUGCCAGCCCAGAUCAACAACAGGCCUUCUGCAGGUGGUUAGAAGUCAACCAGGUGAUUUACUAGAGAGAGGACCUCUUCUGUGGUGGCACCCCAGCUGUGGAACCCCUUCUGUAAGAAAAUGUUACCUGUUGCCUUCUUUACUGUCACUUAUGUAUCCAGCUAAGACAGUAUCCAUUUCCUGAGCUCUUAACAAGCAAUGGCUUUUAAACCACAUUGUGUUUGUUAUAUAAUGCAAAGACAGGCUAUAAAUAUUUUGGGUUGUAUUCAACUAAGCCCUACUUGAAGUAGACCCAUUGAAACUAAUGAACCAAAGUUAGUCAUGUCUAUUAAUGUCAAUGGGCAUACUCUGAGUAGGACUAGCAUUUAAUACCACCCUUUGUAAAUAAAUAAAUACACCUAUGCAUAUACUCGCACCACUUCUCAACUCUCUGGCAAAGGACAGUUGCAACCCCACCUCCUCCCUCCAAACUUGCUUCUCCAUUAAUGGUCUUUAUCAUCUUUUUACAUCUCACAUGAAUUAGUCUAGUCACCCCUGGAGGACUACAAGAUGAUGAUGUGGUUGGAUCAUUCCAGAUAAAGGGUAACCAAAGUGGUGCCCUCCAAUUGCUAUGGACUACAAUUCCCAUCAUCCCUGUUCAUUGGGGCUGAUGGGAGUUAUAGUCCAACACCAUCUGGAAGGGACCAUGUUGGCUACCCUGUUCUAGGUGGAAGAAAGACUAUGAAAGGGACAUGUUAAUUUGGAUUCUAGGAAGCAUUAUGGAAAAUCUUUACCAUUCUCCACUCCAUCUCCUUUUCCCUGUCUCUUUUCAACCUUUUGCUAAUUUCCUGUUCUCUACAUGUGUAGGUCAUGGAAAACUAUGGAAUGCUUUAAAAAAAAUGGGGGCGCCACAGCAUCUGAUUGUGCUGAUACACAACUUAUACUCUGCACAAGAGGCUACUGUAAGGACAGAAUAUGGAGAAACCGAUUGGUUCCCCAUCAGAAAGGGUGUGAGACAGGGGUGUAUUUUAUCACCCUAUUUAUUUAAUCUAUACGCUGAACAUAUCAUAUGGAAAGCAGGAUUGGACUAAGAUGAAGGUGUGAAAAUUGGAGGGAGAAAUAUCAAUUUAAGAUAUGUAAAUUAUACCAUACUACUAGCAGAAACCAGUAAUAAUUUGAAAUGAAUGCUGACGAAAGUUAAAGAGGAAAGCACAAAAGCAGGACUACAGCUGAACGUCAAGAAGACUAAAGUAAUAACAGAAGAUUUAUGUAAGUUUAAAGUUGACAAUGAUGACAUUGAACUUGUCAAGGAUUAUCAAUACCUUGGCACAGUUGUUAACCAAAAUGGAGACAAGGACUGGCGAGGGCAGCUAUGAGGGAACUAGAAAAGGUCCUCAAAUGCAGGGUCAUUCAGACCAUGGUAUUCCUGAUCUCUGUAUGGAUGUGAAAGUUGGACAGUUAAAAAAGCAGAUAAGAGAAAAAUCAACUCGAUAAAGGAAGCCACAGACCUGAACCUACAAAAUCUGAUCAGGGUGGUUUAUAGGAGAUGCUGUUGGAGGUUGCUGAUUCAUAGGGUCGCCAUAAGUUGAAAUCAACUUGAAGCACUUAACAAACCCUAUAAGAACAGUCCUUAAUGUCUACUGCUAGGUUCAGAAAGAUUCCUUAUACUAAGUUUUUUUAAAAAACCAGCCCUGUGUUUUAGGAAGGUUCCUUGAAGCUGAUCAGGGCAUUCUUCAUAAGAAUGACCUUAAAAGACAUCUCACCCCCAUGACGUGGUGGCCCAGGAUCCUCUGCAGCAAAGAGGGAUUCUGUGGCAGAUGGGUCAAGGUGAAAACUGACAUGUUCCUUCAGAGUUUGGAAGCCCCUGCCUGAUGCACUGUGAUGAUUGGCUGCGUUUGACCAAUCCGCUUAUUGAGGUGAGAUAUGCAUGAGCUUCUUGCCCAUUCACACAGCGCCUUUGCUCCUCCCUUCACCAAGUUUAGCAAUCGAGAAAGGAAGUCUCUGGUUAGCCAAUUCCCCAUUUUGUCCAACCUGGAGAAACAAUGUCAAAACAAUGUCUUUGGAACAAGCCAGGAUCUUAACCCAACUUCAGAAUAGGGUUUCUUGGCUUGUUCCGAAUCUGGUAACUCUUGUUUUCCAGCUCAGAUGAAAUGGAAAAUUCGGAACUUCAAGUUCAAGCAGUGUACUUCAGAAAGAGCUGCAUGCACAAGCAAAAGGCUUGUGUGUAUCUUGGCUUAGCAAGACAAGAUAUGGUCAUCCAAACUAGGCUGUUUAUCUCUGAGAAGACACAGUAGAGGGGGAUUUAUGUCACAGUAUGUUUAAGAACAUAACAUAAGAGCCUGCUGGAUCAGGCCAGUGGCCCAUCUAGUCCAGCAUCCUGCUCUCACAGUGGCCAAACAGGUGCCUGGGGGAAGCCCGCAAGCAGGACCUGAGUGCAAGUGUUCAAUCUGUGUUCUAGAGAACAUUGCAUGUCUAGCACAGGUGCUUACCGAAUCAAAUCUAUGGUCCACACAACAGAAAGUGGUGUAUUUUACUUCCUGACACAAAUAUUGACAUAUUCUUUGCGUAUGUUGCAGCAAAAAAGCAUAAACUUUUUUUUAGAUGAAAAUUCACUGGGCUGUCAUAAAAUGAAAAUAGGGGUGUUAUUUUUCAGGCAUUUGUUUUCCUCAAGUUUGUUAAGUUUUAUGGAAUUAUGUAGCAAUUCAUUGUUGUAACAUGACCUAGUGGCCUUGGGAAAAAUAUAUUUAAUAGAAUUUUGGUCCAUUAAUUUUCAUGGGGCAUUCAAUAUCCAGGGGUGCAUACAUGGAUCUCCUAGUUACAUUGUCUAAACAUCCUCACUCCAAAGAGAUGGUCAUUGUGGUCAGCUGUGACGAUGCUGAUCCACCUGUUUUGGUCGAGCCUUCCUCUCAGUAGAUGAUUGGUGCUGCUAAUGCAGGGUGUGCUGUCCACUUCUGUUACCACUCUGACCCAUAUGAGAAGUAGAAAAGAUAAAUCGAUGCUCAUUUCAUAGUGUGUGUUUCAAAAUUUGCUUAAAUUUAUGCUUGCUAGAUACAAUUAUUUACUAGUGAUAUCUGCAAAAGGAAAACAGCACUUUUAGUGAAACCUGUUUCUGGAAGCUUAUAGGAACAUUCAUUUCAGGGCCUGGUGUUUUGCAUUACACUGCAACUUAAGUUGGCAAUCUAGGCCCAGCUGAGGUCAAGUCACUUCUCCAGUCAGUUUCCCCAGCAUACAGAAAUAAACAUCCACUCAUUUAGCACCCCUGGCUUACAAGAGCUGGCCUAGGUGCAAGGAAGACAGAUGAGACUGUCUACAAUUAAAACUCAAGCGACUCAAAGAACAGGUACUGUUUUCUUUUAAUAAGGUAGGACUGUGACAUCCAGAAACUGAACUGAUAGGAAGACCAUGGGGCUGGAAAUGGAGUUGUGACUCUGACAAGCUGCAUGUACUUCCAGGUCUUCUAUACAAGAGUGUAAUACAGGGAGUGUAAUACAAAGGCAGUAUGCUUCUGAAAACCAGUUGCUGGAAGCCUCAGGAGGGGAGAGUGUUCUUGCACUCAGGACCUGCUUGCAGGCUUCCCCCAGGCACCUGCUUGGCC